AUUGAACGCUGGCGGCAAGCCUAACACAUGCAAGUCGAACGAGUGGCGGACGGGUGAGUAAUGUCUGGGAAACUGCCUGAUGGAGGGGGAUAACUAAUGGAAACGGUAGCUAAUACCGCAUACCAUCGGAUGUGCCCAGAUGGGAUUAGCUAGUCGGUGGGGAAAAGGAUCACCUAGGCGACGAUCCCUAGCUGGUCUGAGAGGAGAACCAGCGACACUGGAACGUAGACACGGUCCAGACUCCUACGGGGGGCAGCAGUGGGGAAUAUUGCACGAUGGGCGCAAGCCUGAUGCAGCCAUGCCGGGUGUAUGAAGAAGGCCUUCGGGUUGUAAAGUACUUUCAGCGGGGAGGCGUUACCCGCAGAAGAAGCACCGGCUAACUCCGUGCCAGCAGCCGCGGUAAUAC
rnacentral:rRNA from 1 species